GAGGCUGUCACUGGCUCGGCCAGCAUUUAUUGCUGCGUUUACCCAGAGGGCAGUUAAGAAUCAACCACGUUGCUAUAGGUCUGGAGUCCCAUGCUGACCAGACCAGAUCCCAGUGAUCAGUGCCAAAGCCCCAUUGCCUGUGAAGAGGGUGAUGUUUGAUUUCCCUGUCCAGCUGCAAUUCGUGUGGUGAAGGUGCUCCCACAAUGUGGUUGGGGAUCUGCACUGGAACCCUUCUGUUUGCGGGACAAAUAUAUAUAAGUGACAUGGAUUAAAAUCUAAUUUGAGUACAUUUUGAAUUGUUGGAAGAUGUACAUUUGUGGAAGGAAGGGGAGCUGCCUGCAGCUGAAUAGUCACAUUGAAUUUUUUUUUGGUGAUUCCAUCUGCUGCUAAGCAUUCUAAUUAUCUUUUCAUUAUCAGAAAAAUUGCUUUAAACCUAUUCAGCAGUUGUAUUUUUCAUGAAUUUACAAUAA